rnacentral:lncRNA from 1 species
GAUAAGAUGAAAGGUUUGCGGCUUUUUCCAGAGAUUCCAGAUACUGGAAAAGCAGAGCGAGUAGGGGGAGUUGGAAAAAGAACAAUGAAAGAGUGGCUCAAGAGAGCCCUUUGUGUGAAGGAGGAUCUUGAGAAGAUAUUGGGAAGUAAUGAGAUGCAUUGGCAGAUCUGUCUGGGAGAUACUAUCCUUGCARCCUGUCCUGUCAACACAUCAUCUUCGUCAGUAGUAAAAUUCAGGUCAAGCUGUGUGAAGAGAGAGCAGAAGAGAUUACACUGUAGUGAUUCAUUAGUUCUGCUUACAAAACCUGGAGAAAAUGUCACUUCCAAAUUUAGACAAAGCAUCAAAAUUUCAACCUCUGCCAGGGACAGUUGUGUCAGGCUGGCCAGAUGGCAGAGUGGCAAAGCAAGCAAACAGUCCACUGAGGACCUGCAAAAUCUUGAGAGAGCACAAGACUUCUGCGUAAGGACUAGAGAAGGAAAAACACCACCCGCAGAUGCACCAAAGGAGACGUUCACCUAUUACUGAGAAGAAUACAACCCCUUCUUUGCCCAGCAGUGCUCUCCCCUCCUGAGCCAGCCCUCCAUUUUGGUUGUGUUGCAACUCUCCCCAGCCUCCCCCUGGGGAUCCUCAGAAGAUGAUGAAGUGCACAAUAUUCCUAGGCCUUCAGCAUUUUGUUUUGUUUAAUGGGCUCCACUGGGAGCUGCUAUUAAUCCACUCUAGAGAGAAGAGCUUUUUUGUUGUUGUUUUUGUUUGCCCCCUUCUGCCUCAGGCAGGUCAUGAAUUAUGUGCCUGUUGUUCUUCCUCACUUCAGGACUUCCCUGUGAUGUCCCACAGGGGCCCAUUAAGAGCUUCCUUGCUGCAUCCCUCCAGAGAAAGCCCAAGUGCUGAAGUGGCAGAGGCAGGGGAAGAGGGAGGCUCUUGAGGCUCAGAGAAUUACAAGAUCUUUGGAGGGGAGCAGCGAGUCUCUGUGAGGAUUUGGGUAAGAGCAGGUCGUCUCCAUAGCUCAGGGGCAUAUUUUGGUCUGCCGGGGCUUGAGUUGCAUGCCAAAAUUACUGAUGGAUAAGUUGCCCGAUUACAGAGCAAAAGUAUGGAUUACAGAAGCAAAAGAUGCUUCUCUGAGUUGCUCUCUGAAUCAUGCUAUUUCCAUUCAUUUAGUAGCACAAGAACUCAAACUUCGGGGAAAGGGAUACUCUUGACCUGCAGCUGACUGCAGGUCCUGUUAUGGGUCUGGCCCACAAAURACACAUGCCUGAGCUGACUUUUAGCUCCAGCUGCCUAAAUAGCCUGUGCCUUUAGGGCAGGAGAACCCCAGUCUGGUUCCCCUGGAUAUGAUGGCUGCUCUCAUGCAUUUCAAAUAAAUUUCCUGAAAGAAGCCCUCCCA